GACGAACGCUGGCGGCGUGCUUAACACAUGCAAGUCGAACGGAAAGGCCCUGCUUUUGUGGGGUGCUCGAGUGGCGAACGGGUGAGUAACACGUGAGUAACCUGCCCUUGACUUUGGGAUAACUUCAGGAAACUGGGGCUAAUACCGGAUAGGAGCUCCUGCUGCAUGGUGGGGGUUGGAAAGUGUCGGCGGUUGGGGAUGGACUCGCGGCUUAUCAGCUUGUUGGUGGGGUAGUGGCUUACCAAGGCUUUGACGGGUAGCCGGCCUGAGAGGGUGACCGGCCACAUUGGGACUGAGAUACGGCCCAGACUCCUACGGGAGGCAGCAGUGGGGAAUAUUGCACAAUGGGCGGAAGCCUGAUGCAGCAACGCCGCGUGCGGGAUGACGGCCUUCGGGUUGUAAACCGCUUUCGCCUGUGACGAAGCGUGAGUGACGGGAAUGGGUAAAGAAGCACCGGCUAACUACGU
rnacentral:rRNA from 1 species